rnacentral:SRP_RNA from 1 species
GCCCGGGUCCUGUGCAGCGGAAGCCGUCGAACCUCGUCAGGUCCGGAAGGAAGCAGCGAUAAGGCAGCGUCCCCGUGUGCCGCAGCAAACCUGGGCUCU